rnacentral:ncRNA from 1 species
UACCUGGUUGAUCCUGCCAGUAGUCAUAUGCUUGUCUCAAAGAUUAAGCCAUGCAAGUCUAAGUACGAGCUCUCGUACAGUGAAACUGCGAAUGGCUCAUUAAAUCAGUUAUGGUUCGUUUGAUCGUACAGUUUACUUGGAUAACUGUGGUAAUUCUAGAGCUAAUACAUGCGAGAAGCGCCGACCUCGCGGGAGGCGUGCAUUUAUCAGACCAAAAACCGGCCGCGUCUUCGGGCGCGUUCGCCUUGGUGACUCUGGAUAACUUUGCGGAUCGCACGGUCUAGCACCGGCGACGGAUCAUUCAAGUGUCUGCCCUAUCAACUUUCAUCG